UACGUAGGGUGCGAGCGUUGUCCGGAAUUACUGGGCGUAAAGAGCUCGUAGGUGGUUUGUCGCGUUGUUCGUGAAAACCGGGGGCUUAACCCUCGGCGUGCGGGCGAUACGGGCAGACUUGAGUACUGCAGGGGAGACUGGAAUUCCUGGUGUAGCGGUGAAAUGCGCAGAUAUCAGGAGGAACACCGGUGGCGAAGGCGGAUCUCUGGGCCUUGCCUGACGCUGAGGCGCGAAAGCUAGGGGGAGCGAACAGG
rnacentral:rRNA from 1 species